CUCAGAUUGAACGCUGGCGGCAGGCUUAACACAUGCAAGUCGAGCGGUAACAUCUAGCUUGCUAGAAGAUGACGAGCGGCGGACGGGUGAGUAAUGCUUGGGAAUAUGCCUUUACGUGGGGGACAACAGUUGGAAACGACUGCUAAUACCGCAUAAUGUCUUCGGACCAAAGGAGGGGACUCUUCGGAGCCUUUCGCGUAAAGAUUAGCCCAAGUGGGAUUAGCUAGUUGGUGGGGUAAUGGCUCACCAAGGCGACGAUCCCUAGCUGGUUUGAGAGGAUGAUCAGCCACACUGGGACUGAGACACGGCCCAGACUCCUACGGGAGGCAGCAGUGGGGAAUAUUGCACAAUGGGCGAAAGCCUGAUGCAGCCAUGCCGCGUGUGUGAAGAAGGCCUUCGGGUUGUAAAGCACUUUCAGUCGUGAGGAAGGGGUAGUAAUUAAUACUUGCUAUCUUUGACGUUAGCGACAGAAGAAGGACCGGCUAACUCCGUGCCAGCAGCCGCGGUAAUAC
rnacentral:rRNA from 1 species